ensembl:lncRNA
ACAGUCACUUUAUUAGAAUGAUUCACCACUGAUAACUGUUUUGUGUUUUCCCAUGUGUCAAGGUCCUGGUGCCCUCUCCCCUGCUCAGGCAAAAGCUGCUAAAUAUGGUGCAGGAGUAGUUCCUGGUGGUGCUGGGAUUGUGCCAGGAGCUGGAGGGGUUUAUCCUGCAACGGGAGGUCUUACUCCCGCUCAAGCCAAAGCAGCUAAAUAUUCCCAACAUUUCAGUGGGGCAGCUGGAACUGGUGUUGGAGGACUGUACCCUGGAGCUGGAGGUGAGUGACAACAAACAAUCAAAUCACUUCUUGAGGCACUUAGAAGCCACUGCACAAAAUAUCCAUAGCCACGUUUCCACUGUCGGGCCAAAAGCGAGCGUGCUAGUGUGUGCCAGGGCCAGUCGCAUUUCCACUGUCACUUCUGGGGCUUGAUCGUGCCUCAUCGGGGCUUCCUCGGGGCCAACGCCCAGGGCUUUUUGGCCCGCCAAAUACCUUGGGCCAAAGCGGGCCAACUGGGGCUUGAGGCGUGGUCAAGGUGAAAGGCGGAGUUUAUCUCCGGUAAGCGAGUAGUCAGGUAAGAGUGUAUGCGGC